AGUGAACGCUGGCGGUAGGCCUAACACAUGCAAGUCGAACGGCAGCACAGUAAGAGCUUGCUCUUACGGGUGGCGAGUGGCGGACGGGUGAGGAAUACAUCGGAAUCUACUUUUUCGUGGGGGAUAACGUAGGGAAACUUACGCUAAUACCGCAUACGACCUACGGGUGAAAGCAGGGGAUCUUCGGACCUUGCGCGAUUGAAUGAGCCGAUGUCGGAUUAGCUAGUUGGCGGGGUAAAGGCCCACCAAGGCGACGAUCCGUAGCUGGUCUGAGAGGAUGAUCAGCCACACUGGAACUGAGACACGGCCCAGACUCCGACGGGAGGCAGCAGUGGGGAAUAUUGGACAAUGGGCGCAAGCCUGAUCCAGCCAUACCGCGUGAGUGAAGAAGGCCUUCGGGUUGUAAAGCCCUUUUGUUGGGAAAGAAAAGCAGCAGGUUAAUACCCCGCUGUUCUGACGGUACCCAAAGAAUAAGCACCGGCUAACUUCGUG
rnacentral:rRNA from 1 species